rnacentral:rRNA from 1 species
AGCUCCAAUAGCGUAUAUUAAAGUUGUUGCAGUUAAAAAGCUCGUAGUUGAAUUUCUAGGCAGUAGCUACUCGGAUUUCAAUUCAGUAUCUGCUGUCUAUCCGACACUGAACUAUAACGGGUAUUAAGUUAUCCCUAUAGCGAAUUGUCAUUUUACUUUGAAAAAAUUAGAGUGUUUCAGGCAGGCAAUUGCCCGGAUAUCUUAGCAUGGAAUAAUGGAAUAGGACUUUGGUUCAUUUGAUUGGUUAUUGAAUCAAAGUAAUGAUUAAUAGGGACAGUUGGGGGCAUUAGUAUUUAAUUGUCAGAGGUGAAAUUCUUGGAUUUAUUAAAGACUAACUUAUGCGAAAGCAUUUGCCAAGGAUGUUUUCA